GUCAAAUGUAGUUUAUGCUUUGUGAAGUGGAUCUGGGCCUCCUGAAAUGAGAACUGAGACCACCAAUACCAUUAUAUUCAAAUAGGAAGCAGUUGUCAGAUGGUAAAAAUUUUGACGACUGCCAAUAAAUAUGAAAAGAUUUCCGUGAUGUAAACUGUCUGGUAUUAAUAUUUUGAGUCAUGUCUCACGUGGCUUAAUUGUAGCUCUAACAAUAUUAGUUGUACCAAGUGAAAGAUCUUAUUUUUCGUUAGUUGAGAUCAUUUACAUUUUCAGGAUUUAAUUUUCAGUAUGAAUAACUUGUUUUGUUUUGUUUUGUUUUUUCAGAAAGAAAGUUUAAGUACAGCUAUGAAAGGAAGAGUGUCAUGAAAAAAAUAGACUAUUUUCCUAAAAUCAAGAAUUAGAAUCCUUCUAAUAUGUGUGAAGAAGGAUAUUAUAGUUCUCCUGGUAUUUUCUAUAUAAUUUUUUUUUCUAUGUUUUCAAGAAGGUGUUUUAAGUUAGGGGCGGAGACUGGAAGGACUGAGAUCUCUACCUUACGGACUUGUUAUCAACAGAAAUAAGAGAUAAGUCUUUCUGAAAUGAAAAAAAAUUAAUUUGUUCCACACUAAUGGGGAGAAAUGUAAGAUAUGAUUAUGACACAACCUUCACAGAUUGAAUUACUGACAGAUUAAUGAAGAGAAAAAGAAAUGCAUUGUGGGAAUCAUGAACCCAUGACAGCUAUGUCAUCCUUUUUGGGAAACUCACAAAUGAUGUCUCCUCAGGAGACUAGAAUAAGAGACUGAUUAGUUCAGCAUUGCUUUUCUUUCCCCUACACUAUAGUCUUUAAAAUAAUUAAAGAAUAAUGCUGAAUCCCAUCUGAAUGUCUUUUAAGAUUUAACUUCCUCAAGCUAUUCACUGAGCUGCUCCUUUAAAGGGGACUGAACAGAUCUACACAACUAAUUAUGGAGUAGUACACUGAUACUCCUCUCCCACAUCCAUACCAAUUAGGUCUGCUUAGAGUACAUCCCAUUUUAUUGUACUAGGGACAGGAUUUUUAAUCUGGUCAGAUCUUUCUGUGUGUGCAGGGAUGUAUUUUUGCUAGUAAGACUUCAAAUCUUUCUCAUGAUCCUGAAUGACAAAAAUGUACACAGUUAUUGUCUAGUCCUGAGAACUGUAAAUAUUCUGUUCUUUGCUAGAGUGAUUUUGUUUCAUAAGCAUAUUUAAAAAAUAAAUUAUAAUAAGGCAAUGUUGCGUGGUAUGUAUUUACCAUAGUGUUAUAAGAAUCUGAGAAUUUGUGGGAGCUGGUGAGAUCAGUGAAUGAGUGAGGAGACAGCAUCAGAUUCCUCUUUCUGAUGGGAGCUUCAGUGAAGGUAACUUUUCCCAGUUGGCUUCCUAGCUUGCUUAUUAGAUCAAAGGGGAUUUUUUUUAGGCAGUAGUCCUCAAAGACUAGUGCCUGAACAAGUAUCAUCAUAUUAGUCAGAAUUUUAUUUAGAUGCUAGCAAACAAAACAAACUGUGGAUACAAAGAAGAAAGAAAAUGCCUAAUUUAGGAAGUUUGGAAAGAAGUAAGAUAAGAGACUGAAAUAUUUCAUGUUUGCACAUUAUAGCGAAGUAAUCCCCCAGUACCAGUAAAUUUCAGUUAAGUACAUAAAUACUACAAGCUUGCUGUAUUAUUUUAAUAUUUACCAAUCCUACUCCACAGAGUCAGUAACGCAACUGAGAGAAAGACCUGCUCUCUUCAUCAAGGCCAUCUUUUGUAUUCCAUUAGGAUGUGGCCAAUAAGGUUCAUUACUUUGAUAGCAGCAGAGACAGAGACAGACUGGGUUCUUUAUGGAGUGCAAUUGUAAAACCUGGAAAGAAUUCAUCACAGCUUCACUGAUGGUGAUUUUGGCCCACAGUUUCUCUCUGAAUUUUCUAUCUCUGCUAGGAUGUGCAGAUCUUAAAAUACAGUGCAUUCAUUUUAUGAACAUAAGUUCUUUUUUAUAUUUUGUUUUCUUAGUUACCAUUUUUGUUUGUUUGUUUUAACUCUUGGUUUUGCUUAUCUCAAAAAUAUUUCUCUUUCCUUUGUAUUGUACUGCAGCUCUGCAGAGAUACUGUUGACACACUAGGAGAUCUGCAAAUAAUCUCAGUCUCAAACAAUCUCAAUCUCAAUCUCAAUCUCAAUCUCAAUCUCACAAGUACUUCCUGUAGAAUUAGGAUCAUUUUGAAGUCGAUAAUAACUGUAGUGUCACUAAAGAAAGAUUUGUAACAUUUUCAGGGACUCUAUUACUUGUAUUGAUGACAUUGAAGCAGUGAGACCCCUUCUCUCCAUUUUAACAAAACAAGUGCAAAUAACAGGAUUCAUUAGCACUUAAAAUCUUAAUGCAUUUUAAGUUAUACACAAUUGACUUUCUAAGGCAAAAAUUUAAGGCAUUGCUACUUCCGAGGCCUCAGAGGAAACUGCAACUAGGAUUAAGUAAAUCUUUAGCAAAGCCAAGCCCCUUUAGGGUCCUGGGACAAAUUUUCAAGGAACUUCCUUGCUAGCAAUAGAAAGGUGCAGGCAGGACAUUUGUGGUGGCUUUCUCUAGCUAGCAGGAACACCAGCUAAAUUGAAGAAGAAUCAGCAAGGUGUCACUAUGCACCUGCAAGUUGAAUAUGGAGCCAGGUAUCCUGGAGGAAUUAGUUUUCUGAAUACCAGUACUCACAGAAUCUCAUCACAGUGCUUCACAGUACUUCACUGUGCUAAACCAGCAGUGCUGUGCUACACUGACACAUUCAUUUUGCUGUACAGACUUUAUAUGACAUGUCAAGAGAUGAAGGAUUGAUACUGCCAACAGCAGACACAUUCUUUUACUGUUCACCAGCCCUGAAGUGGAAAUUUCUUG